GCGUCGCUGCCGGGUCGGUAAACAAUCGACGUUUGUUAUUUCUGCCACUGCAAGUUCACACGCGAGGUGUCGGUGCGAAAGUUUAAAAUAACAACUGUCGUUAUUUCCUAAACAAUCAUCGCAGUAAUUAUUAUAAUGUGCGUUCGGAUGUUAUUAUUGGGAAGUAACAAAUCUUGAUACAUGCUGAUGUUACAUAUUCGCGUAGAUCCGGGAUAGAGCGUGGCUUUGUACUUGGUUCCUCUGUUUACAAACAUCGAGCUGUGUAUGAGAACGACGGAGGUCACUGAAGUUGGUCACGAAUCUUCAGUUAUUCGCAGAGAGUUGAAAGAUAGUCGGUCAGUGCUCGGUCGCGUACAGACAAGAUUAAACAUGUUCAAUUCAAUUAUACGAGAUUAACAUUUCGGGGAUUAGCAAAGAACCACAUUUUAGCGCGGCGGGGUGAAAUCAUUUCUAUUUAAAACAAUUGAAAAGUGCUGUGCAAAUUGGUUGUCAGUGGAUUACUAUUCCAUGUAAAAUUCAGUAUACUUACGUACGAAAAUGUACAAACACGCAAACUGGCAUGUUCAUGAUACUUUUAGGUAUAAAAUGACGCAAAUCUGAUCUUCAACGGAUAGCUAAUAUUGCAUUGUGUAGUUUUAUAACUAGGAGUAUAAUUAACAUGACAAUUUGCGUAGCUACAUAUUUCAAAAAAUAAAUAAAUUCAUCGACCGGGUAUUUAGUUGGUAAUAAAUUCUAGUGUCGUGAGUGCAUCUCUUGAUUGACGCCUGAACAUCACCUGCGGAAACAUACGUUGCCGAAUGACGCGAAAUACGGGAGGUUGUCCUGCAUGGCCGUAGGAUAGUUAUUACACCUAUAUAUAUAUACAUGUAUCAGGCGGAUCCACGAUACCCGAGUCCAGAAUGCUUGGAAAACCAGAUCGUGUGAAAUUUAAGAACGGUGCACACGCAGCUGACUCCUGAUGCUGACGGGGUCCGGAACACGGUCCAGAUGCGAGGCCUUGGUUUUUUCAUCAUUUUUCAUCCCCCAAUAAGCCGCACGUCGCUGACGUCCACCACCCUCGUGAGAAAUCUACCAAAUCUUCACACCGACCGAACCGGACGUCCUUGCCAGCAUAUACGAUCAGUUCCGACAUCCUCGCGUUUUCGAGAUCAUCACGGAAGUUUGUCAGGCAGACCGACAGACUCUUUCCUGUUCAUGGUGACGAAGACUAUCGCCCUGUAAAACUACGUUUCCAACUGAUUUCAACGGUCUUUCCACUUCGUCAAACUUUUGAUUCAGACGGUCCGGCCCGAUUCAUCCUUAAUACGCGUGAAUUAAUUAUCGAGCUUGAGCGGGGCAGCUCGCGUUGCACAUAAUGAAUAACAAUGAAGAACAAUAAAGUUCAGGCCAUCAGACCGCACGAAAAUCUCUCUCGGGUCUAUCCGGCGGGCUGCCGUUUCCCUGGGACAUUAACUUUCGACUAAUCCCCGUUUAUGCAAAUCCGGGAGACUCGGAGCAUCUGUUCGCGCAGCGUCGCCGGCCCGAGGGCCCCGAUUCUUGACUCUUAAUUCUCGAUUCUCGGAUCUCGGGCUGCCCCGUAAUCGAGAACGGUUACGUCAUCGUCAUCUAAGUUCAGGAGUUCAGAACGCCGCUGCUGACGCUGCAGAUGCUCGCUAACGAGAACAAUUAGGAGUUCCACUUUACGCUCUAAAAAUAAACACGGGGGCCACUUUAAAACUUUACUGUCAUAACUACCAACCGCUCAACCAGAUGCGACCCCAUCUUAUAUUAAUAUCCCCCCCCCCCCCCUCUGCUUGGGACCACCUCUCCCUUAUAACAUGUUCGAGACUCUCUUUCGCAACAUCUUCGGACAGAACGAGAAACUUGGAGGAUAUGAAGAGGGUUCGAGAGUUCUUGGAACCACUUUGGUCAUCAGGUGUAUUUUCCUGGGAAAGCAAUACGGCGCAACUUCCUGCCGCACAUAUGUUCAUCGCAUCCCUGAAUUUGAAGGAAGCUGGUGAGAUCCUCCGAUGCAUCAAGAGCAGCCAGACUACGUGACAAAUUUGAGGAAAAAUGGGCCUGACCGCUUCCACUUAGCGGUCUGUCGGCUUUCCCAUGACGGAAUACCGUCUAUGGGCAUAAAAUUCGUAGACGUAAACGUGUGUGGGACAUUCGUAGCGUCGCGACGUCCCGAGGGGAAGCGGACCCUCCAGGACGGAGACAGUCCGGUCGGUCCGGACGUCGCCAAAGCGAGCAGGUGCUGCUUGAUCCCUGCACUUCCCCUUUUGCAGAUGAAUUUCCGUGUUCAAAAUCGACCCGGAUGAAGAAGACGACCCUCGUGGUGUGUAUCUUGUGGGCAAAUGACCGCUUCCACGUCGCCCGCAGUAACGAUCGUCGGUUCGUCGAUGUCUUGUUGGACUUGUUGGUUCCGAGUGAUCGGUGAACAGGCGAGUCAGGGAUGAUAAAUCGGGAAGUGACUUUGUUUACCGCGAUGACAUGUUUCAUGUGACUUAAAUCUCGUGCAGCAGUGCACGGAGUGUUCAUUGAUUGGAUCGAAUAAGAUUUAUUGCGGUCACUUCAGUUUUCUAUUUUUUUUUUUCUUUCCUUUUUUUUUAACUAAAACUUGGAUAGUGUUAUUUUUGUGAUAUUGAUAAACACUUUCUUCGUUCGAUUGUAAUACCGCCAAUGAGUUUAUUCAAUUAUUACUUUACAUCGAGGAUUGAUAAUAUGUAAUUCGAUUGCCUGAUUAGCUGGUGAAUUAUGAUGGUAUUGUUUUUAAUUGCAGAAUUACGUAGACGAUUUGUUACUGACAACUUGUCGCUGUGCAUUUUCGUUCGACAAAUUUUGAAUAACGCCGGCAUGAAACAAGUUUAGACGCUUACUCUGGCGUAAACUUGUUAGAUGUAAUGAUUGUGCAUGAUCUUGAUUGCUUUUUUGCAUUCUUGAGGAUCGGAUUUGUGAAAAUUGGGCCGUACGAACUGAUUACGAGACAAAAAGUUUUUGCAUCCAAAAAUCGCGAACAAGCGAAGAUGACUCGUUCAGAUUUUUUUGGGGAUUUUGGUUGAUUUAGGUUAAUGCUAAGAUUUAUUCUUGGAUACACUAUAUCGACGUAAUUUUGCGGGAUGGAUUGAAACGCGUACACUCUCGAUUGGCUGCAAACAAUAGAUCGAAAGGGACAACCGAGAAACAUGAAUAUUGUACUUGGGAGCUUGAAGAGAUAAAAACGAAAGAGUCGCAAAUUCAUUGUUAAGAAGUUUCAAUUUCAGUUCGUUCAAUAAGUUUUAUUUCUAGUACAAGUGUUCAAGAGUAACUGCAUAGCACAAAGAGCCAGAUAGUGUUACAGUGAUAGACGUAACGUAAUGCAGAAGGAGAAUAAACAUUAAACAUCACAUGACGCAUCCAAUAAUUGUAUAAAAUAAAAGGAGUGCGAUAUUCAUUAACCUAACACAAUAUUAAACUCUGUGAUGUAAGUUUUUGAGUAUGGUUUAAGUUCCAGCCUGCAUACAAAAGCAAUGCACCUCGACUGUAUAAUAUGCGUGUGACAUUGUGGAAUACGAUUGUAUCUUGGGCUAGAAUAAUUGAAUAAAUGAAUUUUUCUGUA
rnacentral:lncRNA from 1 species